ACAGGUGCUGCAUGGCUGUCGUCAGCUCGUGUCGUGAGAUGUUGGGUUAAGUCCCGCAACGAGCGCAACCCUCGCCCUUAGUUGCCAUCAUUCAGUUGGGCACUCUAAGGGGACUGCCGGUGAUAAGCCGAGAGGAAGGUGGGGAUGACGUCAAGUCCUCAUGGCCCUUACGGGCUGGGCUACACACGUGCUACAAUGGCGGUGACAAUGGGCAGCCAACUCGCGAGAGUGCGCUAAUCCCAAAAAGCCGUCUCAGUUCGGAUUGCACUCUGCAACUCGGGUGCAUGGAGUUGGAAUCGCUAGUAAUCGUGGAUCAGCAUGCCACGGUGAAUACGUUCCCGGGCCUUGUACACACCGCCCGUCACACCAUGGGAGUUGGUUCUA
rnacentral:rRNA from 1 species